rnacentral:lncRNA from 1 species
GUUGAGGAACACAUAGUAUUUAUUUAUUGAUAGAACAAUAAAGAUAAUGACAUCAUACUUUCAGAACUACAAGUUGAACUACUGUUGAUUGUAAUUAACUUAUAUUUCACUUUUCUUUAUAAGGUGAAUGAUAAUUAUUUGAGGUGUUUUUUUACACCUAUUACAUAGGAUAUGUUGAUUGUAGCAUAACCACUUUUUGCCUUCAAAAAUGUUUUAACAAAGAUAAAAACAUACAUACAGGUCAUGCUUUUCACAGCAGUAUGUUUUUAAAUUCUGUGUACUUGUUGAUACGUCUUGCUAGUGUCGUUUCACUGCACUGUUAAACCACAUGAAUGCAUUGCUUAUAUUAACAGAUACAAAAAUGAUCCAUGUAAUCAAGUGAUCAAGGAAAUUCAUCAGGUUUCACCAAAGUUCUGUACUUUUAAUAUAAGAUAUAAGGGUGUAUAUAGUAAAUAAAAGACUGACUGAGUUCCCUAGAAACCUUAAUUCUAGAUAAGUAAUAUGUUUAAAAGUAUACAUUUGGAUAGAACAAUAAACAUAGUAACACCACAAAUUAUUUGAUGCAUUAAUUUUCAUGACGCAGUCCUUUAAAUAUUAGAAAAGUCCCUUCCCUAUGUGUUCCCGUCUGGGAUGGGAAGGUUUAAUCGUAUGGUGUAUAGAGGUUAUGGGGUUACAGAGGUUAUAGGGUGUAGGGUGGGACUCAUUUCCUCUUGAGGUUGAGCAUUGGCAGUUGGUUUAUUCUGUGACAAAUAUGUAUUAUCAUAUGUAGUGCACCGGUACAAAGAUUAUACUGAUAGUAUUUAUGAUUGUAAUAAGCCUGUCUUGGAAAAAAGACACUUAAAAAAAGAAAUGUUAGUUAAUUAUGCCUCUGUGAGCUUGGUGUAUGAACUUCAAAGCCAUUUACCAUCCUUAUCGCAGCAUAACAUCAACUGUAUCGCUGCAUUAGCUAAUCCAGGCAGGUGCCAAAAAAGACUUAUUGCAUGGGUGCAUGUGAGAUGUGUACACUCAUACAAUUUUGACAUAGACAAAGAUACAAUAUCAACAAAAAUAACUUGCUUUUCAACAAUUGUUCUGAAAACAAAUUAAUUAACUGAGAGAAGAUCUUGUGAAAAAGUGCUACAUUUUUGGGACGCCAUCUGGAAAUGUUGCAAUAGAUUAUAACAAUUCACGUUAAUGCUGCAGUUCCCAUAUCCCCUUAGACCUAAUAUUAAAACAUGCAAAUUCAUUUUUACUCUAUAAAUUCACACCAAGAAAAGGUGAAAAUGUAUUCAAAACUGCUCACAAGAGAUUAACAUGUUCCCCUGUUAACCUAACAAUUGUAACACAAGUAGGGGGCCUCCUGCAUUGGACUACUGGCAGUAUACCUCUUGGAUAGGUAUACGUGGGCAUUUUUAAGGGCUACCACCUAUCAUCUGAGCUAGAAAAAUAGAGAAAGGGUGGAAGCAUAAUGUUGCAAUAAUUACAACAACAAAAAAGAAAAUUGUUGUUAAAAAGGAGAUGUUUUUCUAUAUUCUAGUUAUCCUUGGCAGUAUUUAUUCUAAGAUAUGCCCAAGGUGCAGUGAAGUAAAGGUAGGAAAAUGGAGAUCCAGCAAGCAAACUACUGAAAAAUCAGAAACAUUUAUUUGUGAAUUAAUAUCAAGAAUUUUGGACCAAAACUAGCAUACUCUGCUGAAGAUAAACCAACUUGUAUGAUAAAGGUGUUCAAAUACAUCUAAUUAGUCACCUUACAAAUGGUCUCUGUUGAAGACUAGUUCUGCUAUUGUCAAAGUGGCGAAAUAUCUGGUGUAAUGGCUCCAUACAGACAGUAGCAAAAUGGCCACAGUGACUUUCCGGUAGCAAAAAAGAAUAAGGAAAAUGUCCCUAAGGAUAUUUCCUACAAAUGCACACACACAUAAUGGAAGAAGCAACAUCCAGAUUCUGUUAUGAACAUUCCUUAUCCAAAUGUCUAAGUAAAUCGAUAAUAGAAAUUUAUUGAUCGAAAUGUUAUAGAUUGGGGAGAAAAUAAAUCAAAAAUACUUGAACAUCUAUUAAGCAGAACAUCUAGGGCUUGGAGCACAUGCGGCAAAAAAACUAGAGGAAUCGUAAAUCUUAGAAGAUGAAAAAAUGAAGUACUGCAGCCAAAGCAUGUAUUCAAACCUGUCUGAAAGGAAGGUCAAGAUUUUUUUUUGAAUCCAUUAUAAAACAAAUCUCACAAUUUGUGUAAUGUGCAAGAAUAUUUUUGGAACAUCACAAUGUAUCCAUCAAUUCUGCCUAUCUGUGGUGAAAAGGAAAACAAGAAUGAAAGUAGAAGUGGGAGACUUUAUUUAGGUCUUUUCAAGGGACUAUUUCAAGGUUAAGACUCCAAUAUAUAUAAUUUUAAGUUAAGUGGCAGUAUUUGCAAAAAUAAAUAUGUGCUAAAUUUGUCAUAAAUUUGCUCUAUUGAUUAAGAAUGGGGAAAAAAAAUGGCUUUUCUUCCGACACUUAAAAAUAACCAGUAAUGUUCCUUCCUGCUGCUUUGUGGAAUAACAUUUUCUGAGCUUUAAAAUGAGCGUGCUGUCAUUCAUACAGUGUAUUACAUUGUUAAUUUUAUUACCAGAAAUGACAGUCUUCAGAGUUACAAAAUUGCUAGAUCCAAGAAAAACCUAGAUACAGAAAUCUUAGUAUGUGCAUCUCACUGAAAGCAUUUUUCCUUGGGAAACUGAAUUGUCAAUCUCAAGUUUUCCGAUGAUCAAUAAAAUUAAGGCCCCAAUAGCAGCCACAUUGAUUUCUCAAAACAUAUUAUACAUAAUAACCAAAUACAAUUCAUAUUUAAAACCUGAGCUAAAACAUAUGUGUCUUACUGACAGAUAAAUUAAAAUAAAUAAAUAUACAAAUAUAAUACCAGUGUGCUAUACAUAUACGUACUGGUAUGUACAAUAGUAAUAUUAUUAUUGUGCUUGAUUUACUAUUCUAAAGAUAUUAUUCUGGAAUGUUGGAAAAGGUGAAAGCCUUUUUAUUUAUUUUUAUAUGUUUUCUAGCUGCUAGUCUUUUGUACCAAUAUAAAACAAUUAGUAAAGCUGCCAACUCACACAUCAUGUAAAACAUAAUAUUGUGAACUGUUGGGAACUAAAAGUGAAUUUCAAAAUUUAGGCCAUAAGAACUGGAAACAAAAUUCCAUGUUAGUUAUGUUUUAAAUUGGUUAUUUUAAACUAUUUUUAAACUCACUUUGAAUCCACUACAAUUUAUACUUAAGUGAAUAACUCUGUAUAAUAUGGUUUGUUUAUGAAACUGUGAAUUGUGUUGCAUUAAAAACCAAAUUCAAAAUUCAUGCACAAAUUACCAAGGCCUUAAUUUAAUAUUGUUGGAUAUGUUUUCUAAAUUAUUUAAUAUUUUUGGAGAAACAUUUAAAAUUAUUUUAUAUUAUGAAAAAAACAUGUAAUAUUUUUCAUAAAUUGUUUUUUUU